AAAUCGCGAUAUGUAGUGUGAUCUGCCUAUAGUGAAUCAUCAAAUUUUUGAACGCAUCUUGCACCUCUGGGUAUUCCUGGAGGUACGCCUGUUUCAGUAUCAUUUUAACUUCUUUUCCCUAUAAUGGGGGCAAGAAGAUAUUACCAUUGGCCCUAGAGACCGUUCCCAGCUUUGGCCGGGCGACGACUUCACGGCUUAAAUAUACUGGGUCCCACCAUUAAUUGUUUUUUGGUUCGGCUUGAAUACCCUUUGGUAGAUUUUCUACUAUAAGCUAUAUCAUCCGGGCAGAAAAUGGGGAUCCCCCUAUACUUAACCCUUUGAUCUGAAAUCAGGCGGGAUUACCCGCUGAACUUAA
rnacentral:misc_RNA from 1 species